AGAACAAAUAUCUAUUUGGAAGGCCAUAUGCUUUGACAUGCUACCGUGGUUCUGACUGUCUCCGACAUUUUGCCAAGGUCUGUGGGGCAAAAUGUCCAGAAAGUCUGACCUCUACAAAGCUCCGCAAGCAGACAGGAACUUUGUCUCAGGUCCUUAAUCUUAGCAACACCGAGCUUGAUCAAUUAGCGGAUUUCCUCGGUCACGACAUUCGGGUACACCGGCAGUUUUACAGACUUCCUGAGGGCACCCUUCAGCUUGCAAAGAUCAGCAAAGUUCUCAUGGCCCUAGAGAAAGGACGCCUUGCAGAGUUCAAGGGCAAGACCCUGGACGAGAUCAACAUUGACCCUGAGGAGAACGUGUCCCCAGACAGUGACGCAGAGGAAGCGUAUGAGUCAGACUCUCCAGUGAGUCAGGUAACAGCUAGCCAGAGGAA